UUGGGCAACGGCUGGAAAGAAAACUUUAUUAAGGACUUUGCGGUCCCGAUGCCAUAACCUCGAGCCGUUUCAGCCGGAUUUUUUCCCCGUGGAAUGAUUAUCAGACGGGAACAGGAAGUCGUGGAGAAGGAUUGGCCGAAAGAGUGUCCCCUCGGAAAAACUGGAACCAAUGGACUGCGCUAAGAUAAGCCUUUUCAUUUAACGACUUUGUUAUAAACUUUUAUACCGCCACUUGGAUACACCGCUGUGCAGCGGAUUGCCACAUCGGAACUCCAGAAUUUGCUGUAAGCGGUGGCAAUAUUCUAUUUCGGAAGUCGGCAUCGAUGAAUGACGGUUCAAUGAUGCCAGAAAUAAUUAUCGGGGUAAUCAUUAGCCCGAGGCGUUACGCCUAGAAGUUACGAGACGGAGGAGAUAUUUGCGUGCGCGCGCAGGGGCGCGCUUGACGGUGGACCAAUCAGGUGGCGGCAAAGGACGAGUGGUGGGGAGAGGAGAGGAUUCCCACGUAAGGUUUAAAUUCUGCAAAACGGAGCACCAAAUGUUACCAGAUAAAAUUCACGGAACACAAUCACGAGUACUCACGGCACUGUAAAUAUUUGCAGAGAAGGAAAAGAAAUCAUGGUAAGUGUAAUAACCUGGAAUAAAAAGAUGUAAUUCACGAAAUCAUUGCAGUUCUUAACAACUGCGACCGCGCAACGUCGGAAGUCUACUUUCGACGACGAUUUCUGUCCAUCGCCGUGACGAAAGGAAGUCCUCCUCGCCGCUUCCGCGAAAGCUCGAGGACAUCCGCGAGGUUGGCAAGACUGGACCCGAGGGAGUUAUCUCGAUCGUAGAAUUCGUCCAUUCGCCGAGAAAACGAGAGGGAAAGAGUCGUUCUGCUUUCUGGGACUUGGCCAUUGCGCGACACAAUGGAUAAUCUUAUCCUUGGAUCAUCUCCACCGAUAAGAUUGAGAGCAAACGAGCCGACGAAGACACCCUGGUGAGAUCUGAAAUUUCUUCCAGCAACACCUGAAGACCUUAGAAUCACCCUGGAAUCCUUAUCGCCUUCGAAGGACGUUCCGCAAAAUCGGAACGAAUCAUCAGGCAUGAUUGGUGCAAGAAUGACGCUCAGUAAACAAGAUACCCAAUGGUUAUAUCACCCCGAAGAGUAAAGACAAAUUAAAUUCCACGUCUCAUCGGUGAAACAGGAAGGCCGAAGAAACGUAAGCCUCGCUUCGAGAGGUGUCAAGUUCCAUUAAUUUCGAUUAAAAAGUUUGAAUAAUGGGAUUAAAAAAACUCCCCCCGGAACCGAGUGACGGGUAUCUCUUCGAGUACCAUCUCUUCAACUACCCUGGAUUCUAAAUGGAACCGAAGAAGCGUCACUUUCAAGAGGCAGCCUAGAAUGUAAGGCGUUGAGUAAUUACAACCUCAGGUUACCUCAGCGAAAAGAACCUUGACCGGCGAGAGUGGCUCUCCGAUACCUUCCAAAUGCGAUUAAUAUGGAUUCCAGCAAUCAUCAUUAGGGACGGCACCCUAAUCAGGUCGGAACAGACCUUGUUUUCUCCCAAGAUAUCGGCGCAAAUGGAGCCGAUGGGAAGCUGAAGAAACCUGGAGGAGUCGAGAUGGUGUCCCGGUGGGUCCUCGGAAAGACGAGCAGGAGUCAUCUCGGAUGAGUGGAAAAAGUAGGGGACGGGCCCAGGGAGAGGAGGGGACUCUUGGGAGAGUUUUACGUACCGAAAUGAAACUACAAGCCGGAGAAAGUGAGAGCCAGCUCGGCAUACGGUAGGUAAGAGACAGCAGAGAGUCCGAGAGGCCGAACAGUCGUUCGGAGAGACCGUCAGAGCAGGUGAGAGACUCUCAGGUCUCAGCGAGAGACGCGUCGACACCGUAGAUGGUGUGCAUGGUCAACGGAGACGCGGAGACCGGUGUCGAGGAGGGUGUAGAAGUGGAUCAAAGAAGAGAUCAAACCGUGAAUGAGGAUACAAAAUGAAAUAGAUAUACGGAGGAGAGAAUAUAAGAUAGGAAAUAACGUAACGAUUGAACGGAUCUACAUUGUUGACGGUGUGCGUGGCCAAUGGAGACGAAGAAUACACGGGAAUAGAUUUGGAUAUGCCCAUCCAUAUCCCAGGGAACUUCGGACCAGGAGUUCACGUCGAACAGUGAAUGAGGAUACAAAGAAAAAUUUGUAUACGGAAGAAGGAAUAUUGUACAUUUGUAUACGGAAAUAGGAAAUAAUAAGUAUGUGAAGGAAGGAACGGAAGAAACGAAGUCACGGGUUAGCACACUGGUUUAAAGUGACCCUGCAUUUUAAAAAAGGGAAUCCGUAAGCGAUUCUACCGUCCUGGGGGCGACUAAACCGCGAAGAGGAAAAAUUAAAUGCAUCCUGGGAGAGGUAGGAAUUUUUUUUCCUCAGCAGUUUUGAAGAAGAUUGACAUUUCUGGUGCUUUGGAAACAACUAUACGGACAGACUAGAGUAAAAGAAAAAAAUCAACAUUUCCUAGCUGGAUACGAUUGGUACCUCUAGGGUUGAGAAGGAACAAAGGAAGAAAUAAGGAAACUGGAAGGAGAAUAAGAAGCUCUUACUUGUGAGAAAUGACUCGGGGGAUUCUGCCGGAUCUUCAGAUUUUUUAUAUCGGUGUACUUGGAUAAGGUUCACCCGUGGAAGAUAAAAAUAUUAAAAAGAAAGGAGGUUCCUAUGAAAGUGCACCGUUCGCUGGAUUCUGCGAUCGGGGUGAAUCUUCGAGAGGUCAUGGAAGAGAUUCUGUAAAUUUUUCCACCUGGUCAAUUUGAACACGAAAGAACAAACCCUUAUGUAAAUUUUUACCUUGCUAAGAGUAACCUUUUACUGGAUUAUUAAGUAAAGGUGAACAUUCAAGACUCCUUCGAGAUGAUUUAAAUCAUCCUACCGGAACUCCGAAGUUCAGAGCUCACCUCUGAUUAUUUCAAGUACAACCAUAACAAUAGUUAAAAGCUCUUCUUAAAAAACAGACAUUCGCCGCGUCAAACCGUGAAAUGUGUUAAAAGUAAAACUGUCGAGGCAAAUCUGACGGAAGUUCUAAUCUACCACUCCCUCGAUAAGAUCAACACUUAAACAUCCUAAACAUAAAGCUAUCCAGAGUAAAAUCAACCAUAUAGUGCCUUUCGAUGCAUGGAGUAAACCAUAACUCUUCAUGAUACUUCAACGGGAUCCCUAAGUCCACUUCGUGCUCCAUCAUACCUGGAAGAAUUCCAAGUGUUCUGCAACAUGAUAACACCUCUAAAAAGAGUAUCACAUUAACCAGAGCAUUUAAAAUUAACGUUACAAUAAUUAAUUCCGGGAUCAACGCAGAGCGCACCUUCAAAAGCGCGGCCAUCUUGCGGCUGCUCUCCUCAUUACUUUCUCGCCAGAGUGAAAGCAACAAUAGAGAUUAAAUUAAUAAUUAAAAGCCUGCUAAUAGGUUUAGUUGGUUUUAAUUGAGACCCUGAUAAGUAUCAACAUUUAGUGGCAGGCUGAACAAUAACAAACAUUUGUAAAAAUAACAUUACCAAGAGUGAAGUGAUUCGGCAAUAUGGCGGCAUGAUUCGAACUUAACGCUCGCAAUUGCUUUCUCCAUCUGGUCGAUAAAGAGAGCGAGAGGGAAAAAGAUCUUGGAAAAUAGAGUGUAAGAUCG